rnacentral:rRNA from 2 species
GUCAUUUAGAGGAAGUAAAAGUCGUAACAAGGU